GAUGAAGAACGUAGCGAAAUGCGAUAAGUAAUGCGAAUUGCAGAAUCCGUGAGUCAUCGAGUCUUUGAACGCACAUUGCGCCCCCUGGUAUUCCGGGGGGCAUGCCUGUCCGAGCGUCAUUGCAACCCUCAAGCACGGCUUGUCUAAUGGGCGGUUCGUCUGCGGCCAUCCGCCGGAGACGCCCCCGAAAUGCAGUGGGGAUGUUCGCUAAAUCGCAGCGUCAGGAAUGGAAAUAAACAAUGCUGACGGCUCGAUGUCGAACGUCCACCUAAGGCGUGCCGCCCCCCCGGGGUGUGCCGCCCAACCUCUCUCGGUUGACCUCGGAUCAGGUAGGGAUACCUGCUGAACUUAAGCAUAUCAAUAAGCGGAGGA
rnacentral:misc_RNA from 1 species